UCGAUUGCGAGAACACGACCGUCGCGCACGUCAACCCUGGCGCCGGGAGGGCAGCUAGCUAGCUGGCUGUCCCCUCGGCCGUCGGCCCGGCCUCCCCGCUCGCCGUCCCGGCGGGCGCGGUGGCCUUGCCGGCACAAAAAUACGGCGCGGAUCGCGCCAAGGAACACGAUAUGCAGAGGCGGCCCGCGGAGCGCUACGGCGCGCCGCCCGCCGCCGACGCAAGAGAUAUUGAC
rnacentral:misc_RNA from 1 species